rnacentral:rRNA from 1 species
GACGAACGCUGGCGGCGUGCUUAACACAUGCAAGUCGAACGGUAAGACCUUGAUUUUUUGGUGUGCUCGAGUGGCAAACGGGUGUGUAACACGAGAGUAACCUGACCUUGACUUUGGGAUAACUUCAGGAAACUAGAGCUAAUACCAGACAGGAUCUCCUGCUGCAUGGAGGGGGUUGGAACGUUUCGGCGGUGGGGAAUGGACUGGCGGCUUAUCAGCUUGCUGGUGGGGUAGUGGCAUACCAAGGCUUUGACGGGUAGCCGGCCUGGGAGGGUGACCGGACACAUUGGGUCUGAGCUAAGACCCAGUCUCAAAUGGGAGGCAACGGUGGGGAAUCUUACACAGUGGGCGGGAGCCUGAUGCGACGACGCCGCGUGCGGGAAGACGUCCUUCGGGUUGAGAAGCGCAUUCGCCUGUGACGAAGCGUGAGUGACGGUACUGAAUGAAGAAGCACCGGCUAACUACGUG